GACGAACGCUGGCGGCGUGCUUAACACAUGCAAGUCGAACGGAAAGGCCCUGCUUUUGUGGGGUGCUCGAGUGGCGAACGGGUGAGUAACACGUGAGUAACCUGCCCUUGACUUUGGGAUAACUUCGGGAAACUGGGGCUAAUACCGGAUAGGAGCUCCUGCUGCAUGGUGGGGGUUGGAAAGUUUCGGCGGUUGGGGAUGGACUCGCGGCUUAUCAGCUUGUUGGUGGGGUAGUGGCUUACCAAGGCUUUGACGGGUAGCCGGCCUGAGAGGGUGACCGGCCUCAUUGGGACUGAGGUACGGCCCAGACUCCUACGGGAGGCAGCAGUGGGGAAUAUUGCACGAUGGGCGGAAGCCUGAUGCAGCAACGCCGCGUGCGGGAUGACGGCCUUCGGGUUGUAAACCGCUUUCGCCUGUGACGAAGCGUGAGUGACGGUAAUGGGUAAAGAAGCACCGGCUAACUACGUG
rnacentral:rRNA from 1 species